CGAUUGCAAAAAUGACUGGCCGCAUUAACGUUUUGUAAUACCAUAAUUUCCUAACCUAAAUGAAUGGCAACUUCCUUCCGUUUGAGUGAUCUGACCACAAAGAUAAUUUAACAUGAAUGGACAUAAUCCUGGCAAACGUUAUUUAGAGGCAUGGGAACUAGACGAACUGUAUGCUAGAUGUAUAGAUCUUCCAGAGGACACAUACAACAAAUUCGUUCCUUUGAAAAAAAUGUGGCGAGAUAAACCGCGUCAUUAUUGGACAGAUAUUCUCUGGGAUAAAAAAGGGAAGAUGAUCCCUUACAUGAAAGAUUUGAACGGAGAUCAACGGUCAGCCAUCAAUGGAAACAUUAAAGGUUUAUUCUUUGGUUGCGGUUUCGAUCAAAAACGGAAAAAGCCCCCACAUUUUUCUUACUUUGGAGAUGAACGUCUACUUGUCAAUGCAGACUUCCUUUUCAACAACACGAAAAACUUAUACUUCGCAGAUUUUUAUUGCCACUAACAAAAUCACUAUGCGACUUUGGUUGUUACCAACCCUGGAUCGAGGCAAGAUCGGUUUUGCAUUGACAAUGAUCUACUUCAACUUGAUCUGUAUAACAAUAGGUUGCUUUAUCUCGACGAUUACAAUAACGAACACACAUCCGUGUGUGUCACCCUUGGGAUUCGGGUUGAGCUUUUUGUUACCGAAGGGAUAAAUCUUUUUUCAUUAUUCAAUGAAGGAAUAGGGCGAUUGGUUAACGUGAAACCACAAGGCCUGGGACACAGCCGUAAAAACGGAAUUUCUAAAAAAGAAAUCUGUAACAUUUGCAAUUUAUAUUGAAAAAUUGGAAGAAUAUAAUGUUUGCAAAGAUAUAGGCAACUAUAAAAUAAGUUCAGUUUACCAAAAAAUCAUUAAUAGGUAUCAUAUAAUGUGAUAAUAGAAGAAAAAAGUGUCUACUAAGCUAGAUGUCAUCAAAUAACAUUUAUAGUCUCAACUUCGUAAGAAAAAUGGUUUUGACAGACAGUAAGGUAGGACUUGAAAAGUAAGCUACGUUUACGUUCUGAAAAAUGGAAUUCCUAAAUUAAACAUCUGCGAAAUUUGCAAUUUAUAUUAAAAUAAAACCAAAGAAUUUAAUGUUGUCUAAAGGGAAAGCACGUUCUGCAGCGACUCCCUGAAGCCUUCUAGGUUCACAUUUGGCGUGCAUCGCAUAUUUUUUAUAUAUUUUGUUAAUGUAUGAAACACUGAUGAGUAUAAUUACACAAAGUUCAAAAAAGUAUUAAUUGUCAACUAUAUAUAUAUAUUUUCACCAGUCUAGCUUAGCCUUUUAAUGGUUAUGUAAACCCAAUUCCUUUUGAGAGUCGUCUGGACUUUCCCAGGGACCCAACCUUCUCAAAUAUGAAGACCAAAAUAUGGGAUACAGGGUGCUAGCCAGUCCUGUGAAUACCACUCU